rnacentral:rRNA from 1 species
UAGGGAAUAUUGCACAAUGGGCGAAAGCCUGAUGCAGCAACGCCGCGUGCACGAUGAAGGCCUUCGGGUUGUAAAGUGCUUUUCUGGAGGACGAGGAAGGACGGUACUCCAGGAAUAAGGCUCGGCUAACUACGUGCCAGCAGCCGCGGUAACACGUAGGAGCCAAGCGUUAUCCGAAUUCACUGGGCGUAAAGCGCGUGCAGGCGGUCUGGUAAGUUGGAUGUGAAAUCUCCUGGCUCAACUGGGAGAGGACGUUCAAUACUGUCAGACUCGAGGGUGAUAGAGGAAGGUGGAAUUCCCGGUGUAGUGGUGAAAUGCGUAGAUAUCGGGAGGAACACCAGUGGCGAAAGCGGCCUUCUGGAUCACAUCUGACGCUCAGACGCGAAAGCUAGGGGAGCGA